rnacentral:rRNA from 1 species
AAGUCGAGCGAACGGACGAGAAGCUUGCUUCUCUGAUGUUAGCGGACGGACGGGUGAGUAACACGUGGAUAACCUACCUAUAAGACUGGGAUAACUUCGGGAAACCGGAGCUAAUACCGGAUAAUAUUUUGAACCGCAUGAUUCAAAAGUGAAAGACGGUCUUGCUGUCACUUAUAGAUGGAUCCGCGCUGCAUUAGCUAGUUGGUAAGGUAACGGCUUACCAAGGCAACGAUGCAUAGCCGACCUGAGAGGGUGAUCGGCCACACUGGAACUGAGACACGGUCCAGACUCCUACGGGAGGCAGCAGUAGGGAAUCUUCCGCAAUGGGCGAAAGCCUGACGGAGCAACGCCGCGUGAGUGAUGAAGGUCUUCGGAUCGUAAAACUCUGUUAUUAGGGAAGAACAUAUGUGUAAGUAACUGUGCACAUCUUGACGGUACCUAAUCAGAAAGCCACGGCUAACUACGUGCCAGCAGCCGCGGUAAUACGUAGGUGGCAAGCGUUAUCCGGAAUUAUUGGGCGUAAAGCGCGCGUAGGCGGUUUUUUAAGUCUGAUGUGAAAGCCCACGGCUCAACCGUGGAGGGUCAUUGGAAACUGGAAAACUUGAGUGCAGAAGAGGAAAGUGGAAUUCCAUGUGUAGCGGUGAAAUGCGCAGAGAUAUGGAGGAACACCAGUGGCGAAGGCGACUU